GACGAACGCUGGCGGCGUGCCUAAUACAUGCAAGUAGAACGCUGAAGGAGGAGCUUGCUUCUCUGGAUGAGUUGCGAACGGGUGAGUAACGCGUAGGUAACCUGCCUGGUAGCGGGGGAUAACUAUUGGAAACGAUAGCUAAUACCGCAUAAUAGCAGUUGUUGCAUGAUAACUGUUUGAAAGGUGCAAUUGCACCACUACCAGAUGGACCUGCAUUGUAUUAGCUAGUUGGUGGGGUAACGGCUCACCAAGGCGACGAUACAUAGCCGACCUGAGAGGGUGAUCGGCCACACUGGGACUGAGACACGGCCCAGACUCCUACGGGAGGCAGCAGUAGGGAAUCUUCGGCAAUGGACGGAAGUCUGACCGAGCAACGCCGCGUGAGUGAAGAAGGUUUUCGGAUCGUAAAGCUCUGUUGUAAGAGAAGAACGAGUGUGAGAGUGGAAAGUUCACACUGUGACGGUAUCUUACCAGAAAGGGACGGCUAACUACGUG
rnacentral:rRNA from 1 species